rnacentral:rRNA from 1 species
AUGGACCCGUUCCUCACCGCGGCGGCCUUCCUCGCGCUGUUCCUCAUCUUCGUCGCCCUCCCGCUCAUCUUCCUCCGCCACUUGUUCAGCACUGGCGUCCCCGAGGUGGCCGCGGCGAGAGGCGUCGGCGCAGAGCUGCUGGGCUCGCUGCCGGUCACGGUAUACCGCGCGGCGGACCACGUCGGGGUGCUGGAGUGCGCGGUGUGCCUGGCCGGGCUCCAGGACGGGGAGCAGGCGAGGUUCCUGCCCCGCUGCGGCCACGGGUUCCACGCCGGGUGCGUCGACACAUGGCUGGCGUCCCGCUCCACUUGCCCGCUCUGCCGGGUCACCGUCGACGGCAAGCCCGACGCGCUUACGCCGACGAGUCCCCCUCCCGUCGGGAACCUGCUGGCGAGGUGA